rnacentral:lncRNA from 1 species
CUGCCGUCUAUGGGGUCGCACAGAGUAGGACACGACUGAAGUGACUUAGCGGCAUAGGGGAGUCGUGCAGUAGGUGAACUGUAUUUCUAGGUUUCCUAUCUCAGUUUUUUUAAUCAUUCUGGCUGCCGGAAAAUUCUUUUUUAUAUUUAUUCUCAUUCUGUUUUUUUUGCUCACUCUAAGCAAAACUUAUUCCCUUUUGAGUUUGGUAGAGACAGAGAGAGGGAAACAACUUCCUUAUUAAACUUCCUGAAUCAUGACGCUUCUAAUACUCAGAGGUCAUAUUUGAUUAGCUGUUUGGAGGAAACAACGUCAGCACCUUUCACCUUUUUUCAUAGGAUUCAUUUCUACACCCUUGUUUACCUUGGAGCAUCUCCUCUCCUGGAGCUUCUGAACCACUCUGGGCCUCAGAUUCCCAAUCUAUAAAAUGAGAGUCUUGGACUAGAUCUCAGGGACCCACUCCAGCUCUGAAGUCCUGUGAAGAUGUCAGUGUCCUGUGAGAAAACUAGACACAUAAAAUAUGGAUAUUUUCCUGAGCCACUGUAGGCAUAACUAUAACCAGCUCUGCAAAGAACCUGAAAACGGAUUGAAGUAGCUGCGUUUUAAAAUCAGUGAACACAGUAUGAAGUGGACACAGCGGAAGACCAAGUCAGGAAACUUGAUUUCUGCUUUUAUGACUCAUGGUGAGAGUUUGGAGAAGUCACACGACCCCCUCGUGUACAUUUCCUUUUAAGUCAAAUGGGCUUCAUAUAACCUACAUACUUCUCUCUAAGAAAUGUUCCCAUUGAUGUGUACAUGAGCAAAUAUUGUAACGCAAAAAUUUUAACAGUAGUUUGUAUAUUUAUAGAUUGAAACAAAAAUGCUGUCAUUGAAAGAAUUCUUUCCUUGGAGAAUAUUUAUGGCGCCUAAUUUUUAGGGCGGCCCAUUUUUCUUCGAUCUCAUCAUCUCCUCUUAAAACAAAUAAAGAGACUUCCCUGGUGGUCCAGUGGCUAAGACUCUGAACUCCCAACACAGGGGACCUGGGUUCCAUCCCUGGUUUGAGAACAAGAUCCAUAUGUUACAAUUGAGACCUGGCACAGCCAAAUAAAUCAAUUUUUUUUAAAAAAUAGUGAAUAUGGCAUAGUAAAAAAUAAAAUAAGCAUGAAAAUAAAAGCAUAAUGAAAUCAUGAUCAAUGUAAACAAAGCUAAGAAGAACAUAAAAAAGUCAACAAAAUAUUUUCCUUGCAAAUUUGGCCUUGUAAAAAAUCGAUGUUAAUUAUAAAAAAUGGUUAAACAUAUUUCUAGUUGACCCUUCCUCCCCCACUUCUCUAUUGAUUUCACUGUUAAGUUGUCUUAUCUUUCUGGUCAGAUCUCAGAAACCAGAGGCCAAGCGAUCGCAUCUAAUUUCUCCUUUGUAACAUUUCACUGCCUGUAAAAAUGCAGUUACUAGUAUUUACUCAGGAAAUACUGAUGUCAUUUGUUGUCUUGUGAUGGAAGAGGUGUAACUAUUAAAUAAAAAUGUAACAAUAAACAUUUUACAGUCCAGGUAGACUUUUUUGUGGGUCUAAUGAUUUCUGAGAAGGAAAUGGCAACCCACUCCAGUGUUCUUGCCUGGAGAAUCCC